UACGAAGGGGGCUAGCGUUGCUCGGAAUCACUGGGCGUAAAGCGCACGUAGGCGGACACUUAAGUCGGUGGUGAAAUCCUGGAGCUCAACUCCAGAACUGCCUCCGAUACUGAAUGUCUCCGAGUCCGGGAGAGGUGAGUGGAACUGCGAGUGUAGAGGUGAAAUUCGUAGAUAUUCGCAAGAACACCAGUGGCGAAGGCGGCUCACUGGCCCGGUACUGACGCUGAGGUGCGAAAGCGUGGGGAGCAAACAGG
rnacentral:rRNA from 1 species